CCUUGAGGUUGUUAGCAGAUGGGUCUUUAUCCUCAGUGCCUAGUACAGCAUUUGGUCAAAAGAAGGCAACACAAUGUUGGAAGUGCAGGGGCUUGACUUUGUCAAACGUCUUAAAGAAGAAAAAUACCUCAUGGAGUGAAGGGAUAUUCUGGAGACCGGAGAAGGACUUUUAGAGUAAAGAGAGGAAUAUAUGCUGUUAUAUUUCCAAAGGACCCUCCCACAAAGGCAUCUGCGGCUGACUCAAAUGUUAGAUGUUAGGAUCCAGAGAUGCUUAUGUUCUUUUUACCUUGGCAAGGACUCUGCCUGAUACAGGGAUGUUAAUUAGAGAGCAAAGUUAGUGCCAGGAUUAACAGUCAAAAUAGAGUACUUGCAUCUCAGAGAGCACUUCUGUCCUGACCCAAAUUGGGUGGAGGGGAAGGCUGUAUGAAUCCAUAAAGGACUGGGAUGAUGCUAAACAAAUAUGUGAUUUUCUGAUAUGUAACCAGGGCUUCCUUGGUGCCUCAGAUGGUAAAGAAUCUGCCUGCAAUGCAGGAGACCCAAGUUUGAUCCCUGGAUUCGGAAGAUCCCCUUGAGAAGGAAAUGGCAACCCACUCCAGUAAUCUUCACUGGAGAAUCCCAUGGACAGAGGAGCCUGGCAGGCUAUAGUCCAUGGGGUCGCAGAGAGUCAGACACCAUUGAAGCGAAUUAGCACGCAUGCAAUCAGUAUUUGGUAUAACAACAAGA
ensembl:lncRNA